rnacentral:rRNA from 1 species
UACAGAGGGUGCAAGCGUUAAUCGGAAUUACUGGGCGUAAAGAGCUCGUAGGCGGUUUGUUGCGUCGGCUGUGAAAUCCCGAGGCUCAACCUCGGGUCUGCAGUCGAUACGAGCAAACUAGAGUGUUGCAGGGGAGACUGGAAUUCCUGGUGUAGCGGUGAAAUGCGCAGAUAUCAGGAGGAACACCGGUGGCGAAGGCGGGUCUCUGGGCAACAACUGACGCUGAGGAGCGAAAGCGUGGGGAGCGAACAGG